GGGCCCGCACAAGCGGUGGAGUAUGUGGUUUAAUUCGAUGCAACGCGAAGAACCUUACCAGGGUUUGACAUCCUGCGAAUCUCUUGGAAACAGGAGAGUGCCUUCGGGAGCGCAGUGACAGGUGGUGCAUGGCUGUCGUCAGCUCGUGUCGUGAGAUGUUGGGUUAAGUCCUAUAACGAGCGCAACCCCUGUCGUUAGUUACCAGCAAUUAAAGUUGGGUACUCUAGCGAGACUGCCGGUGCAAACCGUGAGGAAGGUGGGGAUGACGUCAAAUCAUCACGGCCCUUACGUCCUGGCUACACACGUGCUACAAUGGCCGGUACAGAGAGCAGCCACUACGCGAGUAGGAG
rnacentral:rRNA from 1 species